rnacentral:lncRNA from 10 species
CUGAAGUCUCUGAGCUACUCCCACAGUCAAGCUGGUCACAAAUCGGAUUGGGCCUCAUUUUCACCCUGAAGGAAACUGAGGCUGAGAGUUGCUGAGGCCUGCCCUAAAGGUUGUGGCAAGAGACUCAGCUGGAGGUGAGGUUCCUCUCCUCUAACCUCAACAGGACUCUCCCCACUGGUACGCUACAACAGCUUGGAAGUUGGCAACAACCACUACAAUCAAA